rnacentral:lncRNA from 1 species
GUCGCGGUGGCCCAGCUGCAGCCUUGCUGCGUCCGCAUCUCCCGCAUGCUUCAGGCGGGCGGGGGCGACCCCGCAGCGAGCUCAAAGCCCACCUGAGGUAACUCCUGCGGCCUCCAGUUCUGCUUUCCCGGUGCGGCGCGCUGCAAUCGCUGCCCGCCGCUAAGGAGGCCGGCCGAGCCCCCGGCCACGGCAGGGGGUGUGGCUGCCGGCUGUGCCUUCUGCGACAGGUGGGCCCAUCAGGGCAGCUGCCCAGACCCGGGCUCCGCACUGCCUUCCGCGGCAGAAAAGCGAUAGCGACCCCGGGCCGUGGGUUCUUCCGCCCCGGCUCUCUAAGGCUGCCCUUGGGCCAGGCCGAGCCGGAGCCGCAGGAGCCCUCGGGCGCUGAGGGCCGGGAGCUGCCAGCGUGGAAUCCCAGUUGAAGUCCUGCACCGGAGGGGCUGUGAGAUCUUGGGCUAGUCAGCCCUCCCCUCGGCCUGAGUUUCCACAUUUGAAAAAUGAAAGUCUGGACUAGGUGAUUUGUGAGGACCUUCCCCUUCUGACGUGUGUGAUCUUGAGAGAGACUUGCAUACAUGGGAAGCUGCCAGAGCGAAAGCAUAGGUUCCAUCUGUGCUGGUUUUUUCCAAGUGUAAGGAUUUCCCUGAGGGUAAACACCUAGGUUUGGAGUUGCUGCUUGUAAGUUGUGCAUAUGUGCAGUUGUACUAAAUAUCACCAAAUUGCUUUCCCAUGUAGUUGUGCUAACUUACUCUCCUACCAGCAGUGUAUGAGCGCUCCUGUUGAUGUCCUGUCUGUGUGCUCCCCAGUGCUCAGAAUGAGCAAAAUGAUACAUCUAAUAGUUUGGGUUUCUUUGUAGGAUGAUGAAAUAUGCUAAAACUGAUUGUGGUGAUGUCGCACAACUCUGUGAAAAAUGCCAGAAACCAUUGAUUUUUAUACCUCAAAAGGAGCCAUUGGUAGAAGGAAGGAAAUUAAGAAAAAACUAACAACAAAAAAAAGAUGCUGUGAACAGUCCUUUGGAGAGGCCAAUGUGGUAGGGGACUAAGAGUUGCCCAUAGCCACAUGAGUGAGCUUGGAGGCAAAUCCCUCUAACCCCCUUUGUACACAGAGCCAGGCCUUCAGAUGAUCCUACAGCUAGCUUGAUAAAUCAUGAAUCUGAGGUACCUAGGUAAGCUGUAUCUAGAUUCCUGACCCAUAGUAGCUGUGAGAUAAUAAAUGUUCAUUGUUUUAAACCACUGAGUUCUGGAGUAAUUUGUUAUGCACAAUAACUAAUGCAUGGGCAGCAGUAUUGCAUUAUGUGUUGCCUUUAAUCCUGGUGCUGUGGAAAGCUGUGAUGGUUACAUUAAUAAACUAUAACCGACUCUUUUUUGAUGCCUGAACAGGUCUUGAUUUUGCCUUCAUUUAAAAAAUUUUUUAUUGAAGUAUAGUGGACUUGCAAAGUUGUGUUAGUUUCAUCUGCACAGCAAAGCAAAUCACUUAUAUAUAUAUAUAUAUAUCCAUUUCUUUUUAGAUUCUUUCCCCAUAUAGGUUAUUACACAGUACUGAGUAGAUUCGCCUUUGCUAUACAGUAGGUCCUUGUUACCUACCUAUUUUAUAUAUACCUAUUUCAUCAUCAUUUUGUUAAACACAAUUCAUGACUAGGUAGUAAUAAUUUUUUUUUUUUUUUUUUGCUUUUUAGGGCCGCUCCCGAGGCAUGUGAAGGUUCCCAGGCUAGGGGCCAAAUCAGAGCUGUAGCUGCCAACCCACACCACAGCCACAGCAAUGCAGGAUCCAAGCUGUAUCUGCCACCUAUACCAUAGCUCACAGCAAUGCCGGAUCUUAACCUACUGAGCAAGGCCAGGAUUGAACCUGUGUCCUCAUGGAUGCUAGUCAGAUUCGUUAACUGCUGAGCCACGAUGGGAACUCCAGGUAGUAAUACAUUUUUGAACCAUCUUCCAAAUUAUUGCUGUGGGGAUUAUAUUUAUAAUAGUUUAAAUUGCCGUGGGGAUUAUGUUUAGAAUAGUAAAUUUGCUUUAUGAUAAUAUAAAAAUUUAUAAUCUCUAUGGUUGCAUUCUGCAUCUUUAUCAACCAGGACAGGCCAUUUCCAGAUCAUAUGGCAUUUAUUAUAUUGUCAGGAUCUUCUGGUAACUUUUAUAUUUGAAAUUUAUGGAUAAUAUCAAUAUAUCUUAAGCAAAUUUAUUUUAUUAUUUAUGCCUUAAGCAAAGGCACUAAAAAGUGAUUAUUGAGGCAAAACUGCAGAUCCCUAGAAGGCAUUCUUUUCUUAAUGGAACCAUAUGAGGAAGUUAAAGACAAUUUUUGUUCUUUUCCUUUGAAUAUUUAUAUAUUCAAAGAAAGGUUGUAUAACUACAUGGAUAAGGAACUCACAAUGAGUUUUGAAACUUUAUUUUUAAAAAAUUAAGAUAUGUUUUGAAAGUUUUUUAUUUUCUCUGUCCUUUUAUUUUUCUUACUUUUUCAAAAAUGGAAAGGACGGGAGUUCCUGUUGUGACACAGCAGAAAUGAAUCCGACUAGUAUCCAUGAGCACGCAGGCUUGAUUCCUGGCCUUGCUCAGUGAGUUAAGGAUCUAGCGUUGCUGUGAGCUGUGGUGUAGGUUGCAGAUGUGGCUCAGAUCCCACAUUGCUGUGGCUAUGGCACAGGCUGGCAGCUGUAGUUCUGAUUUGAUUUCUAGCCUGGGAACUUACAUUGUUGCAGGUGCAACACUAAAAAGAAAAAAAAAAA